GAUGAACGCUGGCGGCGUGCCUAAUACAUGCAAGUCGAGCGAACGGACGAGAAGCUUGCUUUUCUGAUGUUAGCGGCGGACGGGUGAGUAACACGUGGAUAACCUACCUAUAAGACUGGGAUAACUUCGGGAAACCGGAGCUAAUACCGGAUAAUAUUUUGAACCGCAUGGUUCAUAAGUGAAAGACGGUCUUGCUGUCACUUAUAGAUGUAUCCGCGCUGCAUUAGCUAGUUGGUAAGGUAACGGCUUACCAAGGCAACGAUGCAUAGCCGACCUGAGAGGGUGAUCGGCCACACUGGAACUGAGACACGGUCCAGACUCCUACGGGAGGCAGCAGUAGGGAAUAUUCCGCAAUGGGCGAAAGCCUGACGGAGCAACGCCGCGUGAGUGAUGAAGGUCUUCGGAUCGUAAAACUCUGUUAUUAGGGAAGAACAUAUGUGUAAGUAACUGUGCACAUCUUGACGGUACCUAAUCAGAAAGCCACGGCUAACUACGUG
rnacentral:rRNA from 1 species